UCUACGGCACAAGCUUUGCUGGGAAUAGAGCAGUCGCAGGAGAUGGCGAUGAUGUUU
rnacentral:tRNA from 1 species